GACGAACGCUGGCGGCGCGCUUCACACAUGCAAGUCGAGCGAAGCGGCGGACGGGUGAGUAACACGUGAGUAACCUGCCUUAGACAUUGGGAUAGCCUCGGGAAACCGGGAUUAAUACCAAAUGGUCUAAGAUGGAAUCGCGUCCCAUUAGCUAGUUGGUGAGGUAACGGCCCACACAGGCGACGAUGGGUAGCCGGCCUGAGAGGGUGAACGGCAACAUUGGAACUGAGAAACGGUCCAAACUCUACGGGAGGCAGCAGUGGGGAAUAGUGCAAAAGGGAGGGAACUCUGAUGCAGCGACGCCGCGUGAACGAAGAAGGCUUUCGAGUCGUAAAGUUCUUUUAUAUGGGAAGCGGUACCAUAAGAAAAAGCCCCGGCUAACUACGUGCCAGCAGCCGCGGUAAUUC
rnacentral:rRNA from 1 species